UACGUAGGGAGCGAGCGUUGUCCGGAUUCAUUGGGCGUAAAGAGCUCGUAGGCGGCUUGGUAAGUCGGAUGUGAAACCUCCAGGCUCAACCUGGAGUCGCCAUCCGAUACUGCUAUGGCUAGAGUCCGGUAGGGGCCCACGGAAUUCCUGGUGUAGCGGUGAAAUGCGCAGAUAUCAGGAGGAACACCAAUGGCGAAGGCAGCUCGCUGGGACGGUACUGACGCUGAGACGCGAAAGCGUGGGGAGCGAACAGG
rnacentral:rRNA from 1 species